rnacentral:rRNA from 1 species
GACGAACGCUGGCGGCGUGCCUAAUACAUGCAAGUCGAGCGGAUCUUGAAAAGCUUGCUUUUCAAGAUUAGCGGCGGACGGGUGAGUAACACGUGGGCAACCUGCCUGUAAGACUGGGAUAACACCGGGAAACCGGUGCUAAUACCGGAUAAUCUUUUCCCUCACAUGAGGGAAAACUGAAAGACGGCGCAAGCUGUCACUUACAGAUGGGGCCCGCGGCGCAUUAGCUAGUUGGUGAGGUAACGGCUCACCAAGGCGACGAUGCGUAGCCGACCUGAGAGGGUGAUCGGCCACACUGGGACUGAGACACGGCCCAGACUCCUACGGGUGGCUG